GACCCCAACCCUGUUUGUGGUUGACUCGUAAGAAUAUGGGGCUACUUUGAUUUGCAAACUAUGCCAAGGUAAAUGUGUCCUUUGCCAAGACCUUUCCACUUUUCUCUCUGUCUUUUCAGCCAAUCAGCCUCUGCUCUGAGAACCCCCCUUGUCUUUCCUUACAACAGUUGCUUUUAUCAUAGUUACAUUGUUUGAAUUCACUUAAAGAAAACUUUCUUCAACUCUGACCACCACCAUGACAACAAAUAAACUGUCUACGUGUUUUUCAGUGGCAUUCUCUCGGCCUUGGGAAGUCUUCUAUCAACACAACAUGGCAGCAGCACAAUAUGGGUAAGAGGGGGGCAGACUCCAGAGAAAGGUGAAUAGUAGUUAUUGGCCUGCCUUGAAGAUGAACUGGAAAGUGUGGACCCCCUUCCAGUUCAUCAACAUCAACUAUGUACCUGUACAGUUUCGAGUGCUGUUUACCAAAUUGGUAGCAUUAUUUUGGAAUGCUUAGCUUGCAUCUGUGAGGAAGUGAAGCAUCCCAAGAUCUUCUCCCAAAUGACUGAAUGAAGAAGGCACCGUGUGUGUGCCUCAGGAGUUACAUAAUGUUACAAGGGCUGGCCUGUGAAUGCCAGUGCAGCAAGCUGGUACAACCAGGCAAAUUGACUGAGGGGGUGUUUAGGACUUUGGUCAGAUGCUACACAAGGUGCAAAACUAACGAAAUCCUAACACAUUCAAUGUGUUGCUCACAUGCAAAAUAACUUAUAACUGAAAUAAUAUGUCUUAAUUGUAUUCUUACUGAUAUUUAAAAUAUUUAAUGAAUUGAAACACUUGAGUAUGCUUCCUUUGUGCCAAGGUGUAUUUGUGACAGGUUAAAGGAAAUAUUCAUAGCCUGUUAUACAUUGAAAAGUAUUAGUAAGUUCA